GAUGAACGCUGGCGGCGUGCCUAAUACAUGCAAGUCGAGCGAACAGACGAGGAGCUUGCUUCUCUGACGUUAGCGGCGGACGGGUGAGUAACACGUGGAUAACCUACCUAUAAGACUGGGAUAACUUCGGGAAACCGGAGCUAAUACCGGAUAAUAUAUUGAACCGCAUGGUUCAAUAGUGAAAGACGGUUUUGCUGUCACUUAUAGAUGGAUCCGCGCCGCAUUAGCUAGUUGGUAAGGUAACGGCUUACCAAGGCAACGAUGCGUAGCCGACCUGAGAGGGUGAUCGGCCACACUGGAACUGAGACACGGUCCAGACUCCUACGGGAGGCAGCAGUAGGGAAUCUUCCGCAAUGGGCGAAAGUCUGACGGAGCAACGCCGCGUGAGUGAUGAAGGUCUUCGGAUCGUAAAACUCUGUUAUUAGGGAAGAACAAAUGUGUAAGUAACUAUGCACGUCUUGACGGUACCUAAUCAGAAAGCCACGGCUAACUACGUG
rnacentral:rRNA from 1 species